AAAGUCGUAACAAGGUUUCCGUAGGUGAACCUGCGGAAGGAUCAUUACAAAUCGUGUGAGAUGGGUGGUUUGCGGUAAAACGCAAACUCCCUCUGCAUCACAACAUUUGCGCUUGACGUGUUUGACAGAGUAACUUAUCACUAAUAUUGACAACUUUUAACAACGGAUCUCUGGGCUCUU
rnacentral:misc_RNA from 1 species